rnacentral:lncRNA from 1 species
AUGAUAGUGCUGCACAAGCACCUUGGCCUUCGCCUUAGCCUUUUAACUGAGGAUGAGGUGAUUUAUGAUGGAAUUUGCAUAGGCAAACAAAUCCCCAGCUGUAAGCUGCCUGCCCCAGAAUUUUAUUUAUUUAUUCACGAGAAACACAGGGAGACAGAGAGAAAGAGAGAAGCAGAGGGAGAAGCAGGCUCCAUGCAAGGAGCCCGAUGUGGUUCUCAAUCCCGGGACUCCAGGAUCACACCCUGGGCUGAAGGCAGGUGCUAAACCGCUGAGCCACCCAGGGAUCCCCAGAAUAGUUCUUAAUAGUAGAAGGUAUAUUCACAGAUUGAUAAGAGGUAUAUUCACACUUUGAGAAUACUACGUAAUACAAUGAGAAUGAAGGUACUACAACCACACUUAAAUAAAAUGUUGAUUUAAGAAAGAGUCCAUCGUGAAAGAGUGUACACUUUAUUUAUGGUCCAUUUAUGUAAUAGUCAUAAACAAAACUAAUGUAAUGAUAUAGGUCAGCAUAUAGUUUACCUGAGGGAAGAUGUUGACUACAUGGUGGUAUAGGCAUGUCUUCUGGGAAGUAGUUGAUGUUUUGUUUCUUCACCUGAGAGUUGCUUUCAAAGUGUAGUCACAUUUAAACAUUUACUAAGCUCUAAACUUAUGAUUUAUGAAUUGUUUUGUAUGCAUGUUGUAUUUCAAAAAAAAAUUGCUUUUUCAAAAUCUUCUUUUUACCCAGGCUCUUCUACCGCCAGGAAACACCAAAUACAUCUGUGAAAUACAGGGUUUUUUAAGGUUCAUUUUGAAGUUUCUCUUCUCAAAUUCAGCAUUAAAGAUACUCCAAGAUUAAUUCUCUGCACCCCACUGAUGUAGGUAUGAGUUUGGCUCUGCCAUCACUAUUUAGCCAUUUUAAAAUUAUUCCCCAAGGCCUAUUCUCUUAUCUCCUUCCAACUCCCUCAAAAAACUGUUAGUGACGUUGGACUCUAGACAAUUACACAACCCUUUUAUUGUCAGUUCUGGAAUGAAGACUUUAUGCAUCACUAGCUGUGUGCCUGUAUAGUGAGGUAAAAUUAAUAUCCUCUGUGUUGUUUAGUCUAUAUUCCAUUGGCGAGCUGCCUAGAAUGACUAAGGAAACUGCCUGAAAAGUUACCCCUUAGUCCUCAAAAAGAAAAAAAAGAACAGGCAAACUAUGGAAUUACUUUGAGCAGAGGGAAAAUUAAUAAAUGAUUUCUAAAAUAAACUGAAAGGAGAAAAAGGAGUUCUCAUACUAGAAGUUUCCUUAUUGCACAAAAGGAAAAGUACUUUACUCAGACCUAGUUGUGGUCAAGCCAAACUGUCACCAUGCUCUGAUGAUUUACAAAUUGAGAGAUGAUAGUCACAGGCAAUGCUUGUGUCACUUCAAAUCUUAAUGUGAAGUUAAUUGUAUAGCUUGGGUUAUGUUCCAUAGCAUCUCAGGUAACAUUGAUGAUAUUGAAAAUAUUAUUUGACAACUCUCUGAAAAGUCAUGAAUGUAUCUCCUAAUUAAGCAAAGUUUUGGAAGGACUUUGAUCCUGCAAAAUAGUUCAUUGUAAAUUAAAUUUAACCAUUAUGUGCGUGUGUACGUGUGCACUCAAUUAUUAAAAUGUCAAGACAAGAAUUAACAUAUAUGAUUUUUUGUUCAUAAAUUGUUUUUGAUCAUUCCAGAAACUGAGAAGCAAUGACUCCCUUCUCUGCUGAUAUUCUAUAUAAUUUUUUAAUGGUCUAAAUUUCCCUUUUUUUAAAGAUUUUAUUUAUUUGUUUAUUUAUUUAUUUAUUUAUUUAUUUAUUUAUUUAUUUAUUUGAGAGAGAGACAGAGAGAAAGCAAGGAGGAGCAGAGGUAAAGAGACAAGUAGACUGCGCCGAAUGUACAGCCCAAUAGAGGACUCAAUCCCACAACCUGAGCCAAAAUCAAGAGCUGGACACUCACACGACUGAGCCAGCGAGGCACCACUAAAUUUUCUUUUUUUAAGAGGUGAAGUUUUUUUUUUUUAUCCUGUAUACAGUAUGGCUUUUAGAAGAAAAGAGCCCUCCUUGAUGUCUGGAAGGAUAUUACAUGCGUUUUGUAGCUUUAUAUCUUCUGAUUAUUGGCUGCAGUUUUGUUCUUUGAAAUUCCCAUGGUUCUUCUUUAUCCAACAGAUAUUUAGGACACAUUUGAAAUGAAGUCAU